CGCUGGCAUGGGUAGUGCCACAAGAUAGAGCGUAACCUCGAAGGUUAAUUUUAGCAGUGUCGGCCGUGGGUCAAAAGUCGAGGAGCAAGUGCUAAACGCCGGCAUUAUGUGCCACACAAUCAGGCGUCAGUGCGACUUUAGACUGUUUUUUGCUAUUUUCAAUUAUAAGGUACGGCGCAGGCCAUCAAAACUCCAACACUUGCAGCAAGGCCACCAGCAAAGGCCUACGCUGUGCAAAAAAAAAAGCCUCCAAAUAACGCUCAUUAAGCAGUGAGGUCAAACAAAGGGUAGAUUGAAUUAAUUCCGACCCAGUAGUAGAGUUCAAAGAGAGAAAAGUCAUGAAUUAAGGUUCCAGGCCACCUUUUGACAACAACAAAGGACUUGAUAUUGCCAACUAUCACCGCUUUUUUAAAUGGUAGAUCACAAGCAACAACAAUUUCUUCCUUUUGAAUAAGAGUUAUUUAAAGCAACUACUGACCACAUAAACAACGUGAGCUCUCUG